rnacentral:rRNA from 1 species
UACAGAGGUCCCAAGCGUUGUUCGGAUUCACUGGGCGUAAAGGGUGCGUAGGUGGCAUGGUAAGUUUGAUGUGAAAUCUCCGGGCUUAACCCGGAAAUGGCAUUGAAUACUACUGUGCUGGAGGUUUGGAGGGGGGACUGGAAUUCUCGGUGUAGCAGUGAAAUGCGUAGAUAUCGAGAGGAACACCAGUGGCGAAGGCGGCAUCCUGGACCGAUACUGACGCUGAGGAGCGAAAGCCAGGGGAGCAAACGGG